GAAAAUUCACGCUCGUAUUCGGCGAGAAUGCGCGCGCAUUCAGGCUCCUAACGCGCGCCACCGGCCUGUAGGGCUAGCGGGACGCGGGACAUGCGUUUUUCUGCACAUGCGCGGCAAACCAGUCGCGUUCAUAGCGCGUAGCUUUUCUGCGAGUUCCAUCGAUAUGCGUCGUUGUAGGUGCGGAUUAGAUAAGAUCGCAAAGGAUGCCAUUAAAAAAGAAAGUCAUUUUUGACUAGAUGAGAACAUUUUUAAAGGAUGGUUAGCUUAUGAAUUUGAUACUUUACUGACAUCAUGUGCAUGGACCAUAGACGCAGAAAUAUAUGGACGAAACUUUUCGCGAGGGAAAAGUGAUAAUGGCCGUUUUUCCAUCUAGUACUACUUUUAUUUUAAGACCAUCUUAAAUGUCUUAAGCUACUAAUACGACGGUAUUUUAAAAUGGUAUAAUAUUUAAGACAAUCUUAAAUAAAGAAUUGACUGUGAAUACUCUUAA
rnacentral:lncRNA from 13 species